GACGAACGCUGGCGGCGUGCUUAACACAUGCAAGUCGAACGGAAAGGCCCUGCUUUUGUGGGGUGCUCGAGUGGCGAACGGGUGAGUAACACGUGAGUAACCUGCCCUUGACUUUGGGAUAACUUCAGGAAACUGGGGCUAAUACCGGAUAGGAGCUCCUGCUGCAUGGUGGGGGUUGGAAAGUUUCGGCGGUUGGGGAUGGACUCGCGGCUUAUCAGCUUGUUGGUGGGGUAGUGGCUUACCAAGGCUUUGACGGGUAGCCGGCCUGAGAGGGUGACCGGCCACAUUGGGACUGAGAUACGGCCCAGACUCCUACGGGAGGCAGCAGUGGGGAAUAUUGCACAAUGGGCGGAAGCCUGAUGCAGCAACGCCGCGUGCGGGAUGACGGCCUUCGGGUUGUAAACCGCUUUCGCUUGUGACGAAGCGUGAGUGACGGUAAUGGGUAAAGAAGCACCGGCUAACUACGUGCCAGCAGCCGCGGUGAUACGUAGGGUGCGAGCGUUGUCCGGAUUUAUUGGGCGUAAAGGGCUCGUAGGUGGUUGAUCGCGUCGGAAGUGUAAUCUUGGGGCUUAACCCUGAGCGUGCUUUCGAUACGGGUUGACUUGAGGAAGGUAGGGGAGAAUGGAAUUCCUGGUGGAGCGGUGGAAUGCGCAGAUAUCAGGAGGAACACCAGUGGCGAAGGCGGUUCUCUGGGCCUUUCCUGACGCUGAGGAGCGAAUGCGUGGGGAGCGAACAGGCUUAGAUACCCUGGUAGUCCACGCUGUAAACGGUGGGUACUAGGUGUGGGGUCCAUUCCACGGGUUCCGUGCCGUAGCUAACGCUUUAAGUACCCCGCCUGGGGAGUACGGCCGCAAGGCUAAAACUCAAAGGAAUUGACGGGGCCCCGCACAAGCGGCGGAGCAUGCGGAUUAAUUCGAUGCAACGCGUAGAACCUUACCUGGGUUUGACAUGGAUCGGGAGCGCUCAGAGAUGGGUGUGCCUCUUUUGGGGUCGGUUCACAGGUGGUGCAUGGCUGUCGUCAGCUCGUGUCGUGAGAUGUUGGGUUAAGUCCCGCAACGAGCGCAACCCUUGUUCACUGUUGCCAGCACGUUAUGGUGGGGACUCAGUGGAGACCGCCGGGGUCAACUCGGAGGAAGGUGGGGAUGACGUCAAGUCAUCAUGCCCCUUAUGUCCAGGGCUUCACGCAUGCUACAAUGGCUGGUACAGAGAGUGGCGAGCCUGUGAGGGUGAGCGAAUCUCGGAAAGCCGGUCUCAGUUCGGAUUGGGGUCUGCAACUCGACCUCAUGAAGUCGGAGUCGCUAGUAAUCGCAGAUCAGCAACGCUGCGGUGAAUACGUUCCCGGG
rnacentral:rRNA from 1 species